rnacentral:sRNA from 1 species
AAUAUUCGUGUAAAAAAGUAAAUUCAUAGACAUACAAGGAAAACCUACGUGCAUAAG